rnacentral:rRNA from 1 species
AUUGAACGCUGGCGGCAUGCUUUACACAUGCAAGUCGAACGGUAACAGGCCUUCGGGUGCUGACGAGUGGCGCACGGGUGAGUAAUGCAUCGGAACGUACCCAGAGGUGGGGGAUAACGCAGCGAAAGCUGUGCUAAUACCACAUGUGAUCUGAGGAUGAAAGCGGGGGACCGAGCAGCAAUGUUUGGCCUCGCGCCUUUGGAGCGGCCGAUGUCGGAUUAGCUAGUUGGUGGGGUAAAGGCCUACCAAGGCGACGAUCCGUAGCUGGUCUGAGAGGACGACCAGCCACACUGGGACUGAGACACGGCCCAGACUCCUACGGGAGGCAGCAGUGGGGAAUUUUGGACAAUGGGCGCAAGCCUGAUCCAGCAAUGCCGCGUGCGGGAAGAAGGCCUUCGGGUUGUAAACCGCUUUUGGCAGGAACGAAACGGUGUCCGCUAAUACCGGGCGCUAAUGACGGUACCUGCAGAAUAAGCACCGGCUAACUACGUG